GACGAACGCUGGCGGCGUGCCUAAUACAUGCAAGUAGAACGCUGAAGGAGGAGCUUGCUUCUCUGGAUGAGUUGCGAACGGGUGAGUAACGCGUAGGUAACCUGCCUGGUAGCGGGGGAUAACUAUUGGAAACGAUAGCUAAUACCGCAUAAUAUUGACUAUUGCAUGAUAGUCAGUUGAAAGGUGCAACUGCACCACUACCAGAUGGACCUGCGUUGUAUUAGCUAGUUGGUGGGGUAACGGCUCACCAAGGCGACGAUACAUAGCCGACCUGAGAGGGGGCUCGGCCACACUGGGACUGAGACACGGCCCAGACUCCUACGGGAGGCAGCAGUAGGGAAUCUUCGGCAAUGGACGGAAGUCUGACCGAGCAACGCCGCGUGAGUGAAGAAGGUUUUCGGAUCGUAAAGCUCUGUUGUAAGAGAAGAACGAGUGUGAGAGUGGAAAGCUCACACUGUGACGGUAUCUUACCAGAAAGGGACGGCUAACUACGUG
rnacentral:rRNA from 1 species